rnacentral:ncRNA from 1 species
AUGGUAGUCUAUGCGACUACCAUGGUGAUAACGGGUAACGGAGAAUCAGGGUUCGACUCCGGAGAGGGAGCCUGAGAAACGGCUACCACAUCCAAGGAAGGCAGCAGGCGCGCAAAUUACCCACUCCCAGCUUGGGGAGGUAGUGACGAAAAAUAACGAGACGAUUCUCGUUUGAGAAACGUUAUCGAAAUGAGUACGCUUUACACACGCUAACGAGUAGCAAUUGGAGGGCAAGUCUGGUGCCAGCAGCCGCGGUAAUUCCAGCUCCAAUAGCGUAUAUUAAAGUUGCUGCGGUUAAAACGCUCGUAGUUGAAUUGUGGUCUUAGACAACAGUCCCCCUACAAAGGUGUGGCACGGUUGCUCGAGAUCUUCAUUCGUGGUUGCUGUUGUUGCUCUUCAUUGAGUGUCAAUGGUGCCUCGAGAUUUUACUUUGAAAAAAUUAGAGUGCUCAAAGCAGGUUGUGAUGCCUGAAUAAUGGUGCAUGGAAUAAUAGAAUACGAUCUCGGUUCUAUUUUGUUGGUUUUCGAACCGGAGAUAAUGAUUGAAAGGAACAGACGGGGGCAUUCGUAUUGCUGCGUUAGAGGUGAAAUUCUUGGAUCGCAGCAAGAUGAACAAUUGCGAAAGCAUUUGCCAAGAAUGUUUUCAUUAAUCAAGAACGAAAGUUAGAGGUUCGAAGGCGAUCAGAUACCGCCCUAGUUCUAACGGUAAACUAUGCCAACCAGCGAUUCGCCGAAGUUCAUUUAAGACUCGGCGAGCAGCUUCCGGGAAACCAAAGUGUUUCGGUUCCGGGGGAAGUAUGGUUGCAAAGCUGAAACUUAAAGGAAUUGACGGAAGGCACCACCAGGAGUGGAGCCUGCGGCUUAAUUUGACUCACACGGGAAAACUCACCCGGCCCGGACACUGGGAAGGAUGACAGAUUGACAGCUCUUCUGAUUCAGUGGGUAGUGUGCAUGGCCGGUCUUAUUGGGAGCGAUUGUCUGGUAUCGAUACGACGAACUCUACCUAUA